rnacentral:rRNA from 1 species
UACGUAGGCAGCGAGCGUUGUUCGGAGUUACUGGGCGUAAAGAGUGCGUAGGCGGUUUGUCGCGUCUGCUGUGAAAUUUCGGGGGCUCAACCCCCGAACUUGCAGUGGGUACGGGCAGACUAGAGUGUGGUAGGGGAGACUGGAAUUCCCGGUGUAGCGGUGAAAUGCGCAGAUAUCGGGAGGAACACCUAUGGCGAAGGCAGCUCGCUGGACGUUACUGACGCUGAGACGCGAAAGCGUGGGGAGCAAACAGG